UACGGAGGGUGCAAACGUUGCUCGGAAUCAUUGGGCGUAAAGCGCACGUAGGCGGUCCGGUAAGUCGGGUGUGAAAGCCCUCGGCUCAACCGAGGAAGUGCAUUCGAAACUACCGGACUUGAGUAUGGAAGAGGGUCGCGGAAUUCCCGGUGUAGAGGUGAAAUUCGUAGAUAUCGUGAGGAAGGCCAGUGGCGAAGGCGGAUCUCUGGACAGUUCCUGACGCUGAGGCACGAAGGCCAGGGGAGCAAACGGG
rnacentral:rRNA from 1 species